rnacentral:rRNA from 1 species
GUGGGGAAUAUUGGGCAAUGGGCGAAAGCCUGACCCAGCAACGCCGCGUGAAGGAAGAAGGCCUUCGGGUUGUAAACUUCUUUUAUGAGGGACGAAGGACGUGACGGUACCUCAUGAAUACGCCACGGCUAACUACGUGCCAGCAGCUGCGGUAAUACGUAGGUGGCAAGCGUUGUCCGGAUUUACUGGGUGUAAAGGGCGCGUAGGCGGACUGGCAAGUCAGAUGUGAAAUCCAUGGGCUCAACUCAUGAACUGCAUUUGAAACUGUUGGUAUUGAGUGUCGGAGAGGCAAGCGGAAUUCCUAGUGUAGCGGUGAAAUGCGUAGAUAUUAGGAGGAACACCAGUGGCGAAGGCGGCUUGCUGGACGAUAUCUGACGCUGAGGCGCGAAAGCGUGGGGAGCAAACAGGAUUAGAUACCCUAGUAGUCC